UACAGAGGGUGCAAGCGUUAAUCGGAAUUACUGGGCGUAAGGGGCGCGUAGGCGGUGUGUCAAGUCAGGCGUGAAAGCCCCGGGCUCAACCUGGGAACAGCGCUUGAGACUGGCACGCUCGAGUUCGGGAGAGGAUGGUGGAAUUCCCAGUGUAGAGGUGAAAUUCGUAGAUAUUGGGAAGAACACCGAUGGCGAAGGCAGCCAUCUGGACCGACACUGACGCUGAGGCGCGAAAGCGUGGGGAGCAAACAGG
rnacentral:rRNA from 1 species